rnacentral:rRNA from 1 species
CCUACGGGAGGCAGCAGUGGGGGAUAUUGCACAAUGGGGGAAACCCUGAUGCAGCGACGCCGCGUGAGCGAUGAAGUAUUUCGGUAUGUAAAGCUCUAUCAGCAGGGAAGAAAAUGACGGUACCUGACUAAGAAGCCCCGGCUAACUACGUGCCAGCAGCCGCGGUAAUACGUAUGGUGCAAGCGUUAUCCGGAUUUACUGGGUGUAAAGGGAGCGCAGGCGGUUCUGCAAGUCUGAUGUGAAAGCCCGGGGCUCAACCGCGGGGCUGCAUUGGAAACUGCGGGACUGGAGUGUCGGGGGGGUAA